rnacentral:rRNA from 1 species
AUUGAACGCUGGCGGCGUGCUUUACACAUGCAAGUCGGACGAGUGGCGAACGGGUGAGUAACGCAUCGGCACGUACCGAUUAAUGGGGGCUAACUGUCCGAAAGGACAGCUAAUAACGCAUAUUAUUCGAGCGGCCUAUGUCUGAUUAGCUGGUUGGCGGGGUAAAGGCUCACCAAGGCGACGAUCAGUAGCGGGUCUGAGAGGAUGAUCGGCAACACUGGGACUGAGACACGGCCCAGACUCAUACGGGAGGCAGCAGUGGGGAAUUUUGGACAAUGGGCGAAAGCCUGAUCCAGCCAUGCAGCGUGUCUGAAGAAGGCCUUCGGGUUGGAAAGGACUGGUGUCAGGGAAGCGGUACCUGAAGAAUAAGCACCGGCUAACUACGUGCCAGCAGCCGCGGUAAUUC